rnacentral:rRNA from 1 species
CAAGAGCGUAUAUUAAAGUUGUUGCAGUUAAAAAGCUCGUAGUUGGAUUUCUGGUACAAUGCGCCUGGCCCGCGGCAGUAAUGCCUGUGAGUGCCGGUGCGCGUUUGCCAUCCUUCUAGAAAACGUUUCUACCCUUUACUGGGCCGGACUCGCGAUCUAGAUCUUUUACUUUGAAAAAAUUAGAGUGUUCAAAGCAGGCUUUUGCUGUGAAUACAUUAGCAUGGAAUAAUAAGAUAGGACUUUGGUACUAUUUUGUUGGUUUGAGAACCAAGGUAAUGAUCAAUAGGGACAGUUGGGGGUAUUCGUAUUCAGUUGUCAGAGGUGAAAUUCUUAGAUUUCCGGAAGACGAACUACUGCGAAAGCAUUUACCAAGGAUGUUUUCAUUAAUCAAGAACGAAAGUAUGGGGAUCGAAGACGAUCAGAUACCGU